rnacentral:rRNA from 1 species
AGAGUUUGAUCAUGGCUCAGAAUCAACGCUGGCGGCGCGCUUAACACAUGCAAGUCGCACGAGAAAGGGGAGCAAUCCCUGAGUACAGUGGCGUACGGGUGAGUAACACGUGGAUCAUCUACCUUUUAGUGGGGAAUACCUCUGGGAAACCGGAGACAAUACCGCAUAAGCUCGUGAGAGGAAAGCAGCAAUGCGCUGAAAGAGGAGUCCGCGGCUGAUUAGCUAGUUGGCGGGGUAAUGGCCCACCAAGGCGAAGAUCGGUAGCCGGCCUGAGAGGGCUCACGGCCACACUGGCACUGAAACACGGGCCAGACUCCUACGGGAGGCAGCAGUGGGGAAUCUUGCACAAUGGAGGCAACUCUGAUGCAGCGACGCCGCGUGAGCGAUGAAGCCCUUCGGGGUGUAAAGCUCUUUCGACGGGAACGAUAAUGACGGUACCCGAAGAAGAAGCUGCGGCUAACUACGUGCCAGCAGCCGCGGUAAUACGUAGGCAGCGAGCGUUGUUCGGAAUUACUGGGCGUAAAGAGUGUGUAGGCGGUGUUCCAAGUCUGGUGUGAAAUCUCCCGGCUCAACUGGGAGGGUGCGCCGGAAACUGGGAUGCUAGAGGGUGGGAGAGGUAAGCGGAAUUCCUGGUGUAGCGGUGAAAUGCGUAGAUAUCAGGAGGAACACCUGUGGUGUAGACAGCUUACUGGACCACUUCUGACGCUGAGACACGAAAGCGUGGGUAGCAAACAGGAUUAGAUACCCUAGUAGUCC